UACGGGGGGGGCAAGCGUUGUUCGGAAUUACUGGGCGUAAAGGGCGUGUAGGCGGCCAACUAAGUCCGACGUGAAAUCCCUCGGCUUAACCGGGGAACUGCGUCUGAUACUGGAUGGCUUGAAUUCGGGAGAGGGAUGCGGAAUUCCAGGUGUAGCGGUGAAAUGCGUAGAUAUCUGGAGGAACACCGGUGGCGAAGGCGGCAUCCUGGACCGACAUUGACGCUGAACGGCGAAAGCUAGGGGAGCAAACGGG
rnacentral:rRNA from 1 species